rnacentral:rRNA from 1 species
UACGAAGGGGGCUAGCGUUGUUCGGAUUUACUGGGCGUAAAGCGCACGUAGGCGGAUUGUUAAGUCAGGGGUGAAAUCCCGGAGCUCAACUCCGGAACUGCCUUUGAUACUGGCAAUCUUGAGGCUGGAAGAGGUUAGUGGAAUUCCCAGUGUAGAGGUGAAAUUCGUAGAUAUUGGGAGGAACACCAGUGGCGAAGGCGGUUGCCUGGAGCUUUGCUGACGCUGAGGCGCGAAAGCGUGGGGAGCGAUCGG